rfam:Otolemur garnettii contig168215, whole genome shotgun sequence.
GCCGGGCAUUGUGGCGGGCGCCUGUGGUCCCAGCUACUUGGGAGGCGGAGGCAGGAGACUCGCUUGAGUCCAGGAGUUGAAGGUUGCUGUGAGCUGUGAUGCCAUGGCACUCUACCCAGGGGGAUAGCUUGAGGCUCUGUCUCAAAAAAAAAAAGUGCUAUUAGCAGCCACAUCUUUUUUUUCUUUUUUUUUUUUUUUUUUUGAGACGGAGGCUCAAGCUAUCCCCCUGGGUAGAGUGCCAUGGCAUCACGCUCACAGCAACCUCCAACUCCUGGACUCAAGCGAGCCUCCUGCCUCAG